rnacentral:lncRNA from 1 species
GGUUUGGGUGCGGGAUUACAGGGAGAGAAUGUGAGAGGGUGGGUGCGGUCAUGUUCGAUUUGGGGGUAAGGUUCUGGGAAAGGGACGCGUGUUUGCUGCAUAGAGAGGGGGAGGUAUAGUUGCCUAGGGAGGGUGGGGUUGUGGGGAAGGAGGUGUAGGUUGAGGUGCGGGUGUAAGGUUGGUUAUUUCCACACCAAAAAUCAUCAUCCUCUUUUCAGUAAAUAGAAUUAGUACUAGCUGAACAGAGUUCCUCUCUGCAACUCCUCAUCCAUUACUGCAUUCGAAUUUUCUACAAUGGUGAGUAAUUCAAACGCUUCUUUUGUUUGAUCGUGUUUAUUUAAUUUAAUUUGAAUUCUUUUCGAUUUUGUUUUCGGUGUAUGGGUUAUGAAUUUCCAUGUUUUCGGUAUUUAUAUGUAGCUGAUUGCUUUCCUUGCUUUUUAUCCAUACCGUUUGGUUCAAAGAAUGAAAACACGCAUUGACCUGAGAAAUCUUAAGAGUUGUUUACAAAUUAGUAAUUACCUUUGUAGUGUGGAUGGCUGGUGUUUUGUUGUACUCUAUACAAAGGCUCUUGAUUGUUCCUAAUGGUUUUCUCUUGCCUAAUAAUCAGGUGAACAUAAAGGUUUAUGUGGAUUUACGUGUUGGUGAUGUUAUCCGUUUUGGGCUGUGAGUAUCUCCUUAUCUUAACUCCCACUCUGCAACGUGA